AAAAAAAAAAAAAUCAUGAAAGUUCAAAUUUUGUUUCAAUAAAGCCACUGGGGACAUAUUCUAGUGACUAGCAACCAAAAUUGUGACAUGGCACCAAUCUACUUAAUGGCCCUAACUGAGAGAGAAAGCAAUUUUAGCUUUAAAUGAUGAAUUUUUGCAUCUAUAGCUUGAGUAAAAUAGCUUGUCAUGGACUACCACAUCAAAUUCCAGGGCUCCAGGCAAGUUUCUGACUGGACAGAAUGUGGCUCAAGUAACGUUAACGUUAAGAAAUUGAGCUAUUGAAUAUAUUUCCAAAAUGAAUAGGACUUUAGUUACUGCACUAAAAUUAAGGGUAAGUUGAGUGACUUUGGAUUAAAUUUAGCCCACUUGACAAUAUAAGUCAAACAUAAUGAGAUAAAGAGGGUGAUCAAUAGCAUAAUUGUUGUAAAGUUCAACUCAGCUAAGUAAUAUAACAAUGUACCUUAAGUGAUCUAGCAUAUAGCUUUAUAUCUAAAUAUUAUUAAAGCAAUAAAUGAAUGGGAAGCUAUAAACGAUUUCUUUGGAAAGGAAAUAAACAAAAAGUUACUCAGAAAUAGGGAAGAGUUCUAUUCUUAUACAAGACCCAAAAAAAAAAAA
rnacentral:misc_RNA from 1 species